ACGGGUGAGUAACACGUGGGAACGUACCCUUUACUACGGAACAACUCCGGGAAACUGGAGCUAAUACCGUAUGUGCCCUUCGGGGGAAAGAUUUAUCGGUAAAGGAUCGGCCCGCGUUGGAUUAGCUAGUUGGUGGGGUAAAGGCCUACCAAGGCGACGAUCCAUAGCUGGUCUGAGAGGAUGAUCAGCCACAUUGGGACUGAGACACGGCCCAAACUCCUACGGGAGGCAGCAGUGGGGAAUAUUGGACAAUGGGCGCAAGCCUGAUCCAGCCAUGCCGCGUGUGUGAUGAAGGCCUUAGGGUUGUAAAGCACUUUCACCGGAGAAGAUAAUGACGGUAUCCGGAGAAGAAGCCCCGGCUAACUUCGUGCCAGCAGCCGCGGUAAUACGAAGGGGGCUAGCGUUGUUCGGAAUUACUGGGCGUAAAGCGCACGUAGGCGGAUAUUUAAGUCAGGGGUGAAAUCCCAGAGCUCAACUCUGGAACUGCCUUUGAUACUGGGUAUCUUGAGUAUGGAAGAGGUAAGUGGAAUUGCGAGUGUAGAGGUGAAAUUCGUAGAUAUUCGCAGGAACACCAGUGGCGAAG
rnacentral:rRNA from 1 species